rnacentral:misc_RNA from 1 species
GAUGAAGAACGUAGCGAAAUGCGAUAAGUAGUGUGAAUUGCAGAAUUCAGUGAAUCAUCGAAUCUUUGAACGCACAUUGCGCCCUUUGGUAUUCCUUAGGGCAUGCCUGUUCGAGCGUCAUUUAAACCUUCAAGCUCAGCUUGGUGUUGGGUGACUGUCCGCUUCACCGCGGACUCGCCUCAAAAUUAUUGGCGGCCGGUACAUUGGCUAUCGAGCGCAGCAGAAACGCGUGACUCGAGGUCCUCGUGCUGGCUCCCAGAAGCUAUCUUCACAAUUUUGACCUCGGAUCAGGUAGGGAUACCCGCUGAACUUAAGCAUAUCAAUAAGCGGAGGA